rnacentral:rRNA from 1 species
UACGUAGGAGGCGAGCGUUGUCCGGAGUUACUGGGCGUAAAGGGUGCGCAGGCGGUGGCCCGCGUGGGCGGUGAAAGCUCCUGGCUCAACUGGGAGAGGGCCGUCCAGACGGGGUCACUUGAGGGGCGGAGAGGGGCGUGGAAUUCCGGGUGGAGCGGUGAAAUGCGUAGAGAUCAGGAGGAAUACCGAUGGCGAAAGCAGGUCUCUGGGCUAGAACUGACGCUCAUGCACGAAAGCGUGGGGAGCAAACAGG